rnacentral:miRNA from 1 species
ACCCGUAGAAUCGAACUUGUG